rnacentral:rRNA from 1 species
UGAUCCUGGCUCAGGAUGAACGCUGGCGGCGUGCUUAACACAUGCAAGUCGAACGAACCUUCGGGUUAGUGGCGGACGGGUGAGUAACGCGUGAGAAUCUGCCCUCAGGAGGGGGAUAACGGCUGGAAACGGCCGCUAAUACCCCAUAUGCCGAGAGGUGAAAUGAAUUUCGCCUGAGGAUGAGCUCGCGUCUGAUUAGCUAGUUGGUGGGGUAAGAGCCUACCAAGGCUUCGAUCAGUAGCUGGUCUGAGAGGAUGAUCAGCCACACUGGGACUGAGACACGGCCCAGACUCCUACGGGAGGCAGCAGUGGGGAAUUUUCCGCAAUGGGCGAAAGCCUGACGGAGCAACGCCGCGUGAGGGAUGAAGGCCUCUGGGCUGUAAACCUCUUUUCUCAAGGAAGAAGAUCUGACGGUACUUGAGGAAUAAGCCACGGCUAAUUCCGUGCCAGCAGCCGCGGUAAUACGGGAGUGGCAAGCGUUAUCCGGAAUUAUUGGGCGUAAAGCGUCCGCAGGCGGCCUUGAAAGUCUGCUGUUAAAGCGUGGAGCUUAACUCCAUUUCAGCAGUGGAAACUACAAGGCUAGAGUGUGGUAGGGGCAGAGGGAAUUCCCGGUGUAGCGGUGAAAUGCGUAGAUAUCGGGAAGAACACCAGUGGCGAAGGCGCUCUGCUGGGCCAUAACUGACGCUCAUGGACGAAAGCCAGGGGAGCGAAAGGGAUUAGAUACCCCUGUAGUCCUGGCCGUAAACGAUGAACACUAGGUGUCGGGGGAAUCGACCCCUCCGGUGUCGUAGCCAACGCGUUAAGUGUUCCGCCUGGGGAGUACGCACGCAAGUGUGAAACUCAAAGGAAUUGACGGGGGCCCGCACAAGCGGUGGAGUAUGUGGUUUAAUUCGAUGCAACGCGAAGAACCUUACCAGGGUUUGACAUCCUGCGAAUCCCUUGGAAACGAGGGAGUGCCUUCGGGAGCGCAGUGACAGGUGGUGCAUGGCUGUCGUCAGCUCGUGUCGUGAGAUGUUGGGUUAAGUCCCGCAACGAGCGCAACCCACGUCUUUAGUUGCCAGCAUUGAGUUGGGCACUCUAGAGAGACCGCCGGUGAUAAACCGGAGGAAGGUGUGGAUGACGUCAAGUCAUCAUGCCCCUUACAUCCUGGGCUACACACGUACUACAAUGCUACGGACAAAGGGCAGCAAACUCGCGAGAGCUAGCAAAUCCCAUAAACCGUGGCUCAGUUCAGAUCGUAGGCUGCAACUCGCCUACGUGAAGGAGGAAUCGCUAGUAAUCGCAGGUCAGCAUACUGCGGUGAAUACGUUCCCGGGCCUUGUACACACCGCCCGUCACACCAUGGAAGUUGGCCACGCCCGAAGUCGUUACUCCAACCCGCAAGGGAGGAGGAUGCCGAAGGUGGGGCUGAUGACUGGGGUGAAGUCGUAACAAGGUAGCCGUACCGGAAGGUGCGGCUGGAUCACCUCCUAACAGGGAGACAAAACUGAUCGUGAUGUCUGAAUACUUUAUUUUCAGGCCAUGAUCCUGUCACUCUAGGUCGAUCGGUACCUCAACUGUGGAAGCGGAAUGGCAACAUGUCCGCCCAAACAGGUUCAGUUCCUAAACUUUGUCUAGGUCACACCCCAACGAUUUUUGUUGAGGACGUGUCGAAGCCUGAAAGAUAAAACGGUAGCAAUACUGGAUUGUCAAUCAGAUGAGACACAACUUUGACACGAUCGCGAGGUCGAACUCCUGGGCCAUUAGCUCAGGUGGUUAGAGCGCACCCCUGAUAAGGGUGAGGUCCCUGGUUCAAGUCCAGGAUGGCCCAUUCGUGUUUGGGGGUUUAGCUCAGUUGGUAGAGCGCCUGCUUUGCAAGCAGGAUGUCAGCGGUUCGAGUCCGCUAACCUCCAUUCCAAACUGAGGAGCGCCCUCACGGAACCAAAGGAGAGAUUUCUUUGGUGUGAUCUUGACGUCUUGGUGACGAUUCCAGCCUGCUUUCAUUCCCUGAGUGGUUGAAAGCAUGCUGGAUUCCUAGUCCGCAAGGAUAGGCGUUCAGCAAGAACCUUGACAACUGCAUAGGAAAAGUCUGGAAAAGAAAGCAUCUCAUAGACGCUGACUUUCCAGUUCUCUCUGCUCGCGGCCUCGGCUGCGGCAUUUUGGCGACAGCCAAAAAGAAAUUCAGGUGCAAGCCUGAAACUGUGAGAAGAACAGGGAAGCCAGUGAUUCUUGAGUUAGAGCCGAGUACAGCUCGUGUCUUCUGUCUGGCAUGGCCACAAGCCGCCAAGCAGGAGUUUGAUUCUGAUUGUCCAAGAUCUCUUGAUUGAGAGCUUAGACACCGGAAGAAUAGCCUUCAACAAGCUAAACGCGAGUUGUGAUUAUGGUCAAGCUACAAAGGGCUCACGGUGGAUACCUUGGCACACAGAGGCGAUGAAGGACGUGGUUACCUGCGAUAAGUCUCGGGGAGCUGGAAACACGCUUUGAUCCGGGAAUUUCCGAAUGGGGCAACCCCUAGAACGGCCGCCUGAAUCCAUAGGGCGGCGCGAGCCAACCCAGCGAACUGAAACAUCUUAGUAGCUGGAGGAAAGGAAAGUAAAAACGACUCCCUCAGUAGCGGCGAGCGAACGGGGAAGAGCCUAAACCGAUGGGUUCGCCCAUCGGGGUUGUGGGACAGCAACGUGGACCAGGGACGUUAGAGGAAGCGUUUGAAUGGCGCGCCAGAGAGGGUGAAAGCCCCGUACUCGAAAGCGAAACUGGCCUAGCUGUAUCCCGAGUAGCACGGAGCACGUGAAAUUCCGUGUGAAUCCGCGAGGACCACCUCGUAAGGCUAAGUACUCCUGUGUGACCGAUAGCGCAACAGUACCGCGAGGGAAAGGUGAAAAGAACCCCGGGAGGGGAGUGAAAUAGAACAUGAAACCGUGAGCUACAAGCA